rnacentral:rRNA from 1 species
AGCAGCCGCGGUAAUUCCAGCUCCAAUAGCGUAUAUUAAAGUUGUUGCAGUUAAAAAGCUCGUAGUUGAAUUUCGGGAUUGGCGUGUCGGUCGUGCCUUACGGGGUAUGAACUGGCGUCGUCGAUUUCUCACCUUCUGGAGAAUCACGAUGCCCUUAAUUGGGUGUCGUGUGGAACCAGGACCUUUACCUUGAAAAAUUAGAGUGUUUAAAGCAGGCAUUUUGCUCGAAUACAUUAGCAUGGAAUAAUAAAAUAGGACGGCUUGGUUCUAUUUUGUUGGUUUCUAGGAUCACCGUAAUGAUUAAUAGGGAUAGUUGGGGGCAUUAGUAUUCAAUUGUCAGAGGUGAAAUUCUUGGAUUUAUUGAAGACUAACUACUGCGAAAGCAUUUGCCAAGGAUGUUUUCAUUAAUCAAGAACGAAAGUUAGGGGAUCGAAGACGAUCAGAUACCGU